ACGCUCGACACUACGGAGGCAGCAGUGGGGAAUAUUGCACAAUGGGGGAAACCCUGAUGCAGCGACGCCGCGUGAAGGAAGAAGUAUCUCGGUAUGUAAACUUCUAUCAGCAGGGAAGAAAAUGACGGUACCUGACUAAGAAGCCCCGGCUAACUACGUGCUAGCAGCCGCGGUAAUCUGAGCGGGCUGGCAAGGC
rnacentral:rRNA from 1 species